GGGUGUAUAGCUCAGUGGUAGAGCAAUCGACUGCAGAUCGAUAGGUCCAUGGUUCAAAUCCGUGUGCGCCCU
rnacentral:tRNA from 1 species